CACCCCAAAAGAGGAUUCAGAAGGUUGUUUUGAGAGAAGGAAAAUUGCAGACAACAGGGAAGACUUCUCCAUCAUGAAAGCUUUAAGUUAGGAGAAAAAGGGAGACGAAAGACCAUUGGAAGGAUGCAGACCAGCAGCCUCCGUCCCCUUAACUGGCUGAGCUGCUGGUUUGAGCUAUCUUCUGCAGCUUACAGAAAAUCAAGCUUCUCCCCAAAGAAGAAAUGAAGAUAACUACCCAAAAGGCCGAUGGCUUUACAGCUUGGCAGACAUUGGAAUCCCCUGGAGAACUCUUUUUUUGACACCUGGUGAGGUCUGUGGAGAGAAACCUGCAAGGGAGUGUGAAUCUUCCCUUGUUUUUUUUUUUGCCCCUGGAAACCACCAUUCAACUUUCUGUCUCUGUGAAUUUCACUGUUCUAUGUACCUCAUAAUCCUGCCUUGAUACAAAACAGUAUCACAUGUGUGCACCUAGGGGAGAAGAAGAAGAGAAACAGCUGGAAACGUGGAUCUCAUUGGAUUACAGAGGGCCUUGAAUGCCACAUAAGGAAUUUGGACUUUCUUCUGUGGAUAGCUGCAGUAAUGGGUUGAACUGUGUCCCCUCAAAAUUCAUAUGUUGAAAUUCUAUUCCCCCAGUAAUUCAGAAUGUGAACUUAUUUGGAAAUUGGGUCACUGCAGAUGUAAUUAGUUAAGUUAGGAUGAGGUCAUGCUGGAGUAGGGUGGGCUCUAAUGCAGCACGACUGGUAUCCUUAUAAAAAGAUACUAGCACUGAGAGAGCCAGCGCUGGCCUGGGGGAGCACGGGAGGCAGCAGUGAGAGCUGUGUGUUUGGGAGUCAGGAGGUGACUGAGGCCCCACGGCGAGCGUGCAAGUGUGCGUUUGGUUCUCGGUGUGUUGGGCAGCAGGGGAACCAUGGGAUCCAACACACAUUUUUUUUUUUUUUUUGAGACGGAGUCUCACCCUGUGGCCCAGGCUGGAGUGCAGUGGCACGAUCUCAGCUCACUGCAACCUCUGCCUCCCGGUUUCAAGCGAUUCUCAUGCCUCAGCCUCCAGGUAGCUGGGAUUAUAGGCACCUGCUACCACGCUGGACUGAUUUUUGUAUUUUUAGUAGAGACGGGGUUUCACCAUGUUGGCCGGGCUGGUCUCAAACUCCUAAUAUCAGGUGAUCCACCCUCCUCAGCCUCCCAAAGUGCUGGGAUUACAGGCAUGAGCCACCGCCCCCGCCCCCAACACACAUUUUGCAAGAGCAAACGCACGGAGGAAUGUUCUGUUUGAGUGCACUUGUAGCUGUUGGGCUCUGGGCAAACCGUAUGAGCCCUGAGAUCCACAAGGAGAGGAGGAGUUCCUGGAAGUGGUGGAGGUGAAGGCAUUACAAUGAGCUGCCUCCCUUUAGCAUCCUCAAGCGGCGUCCCGACCCCUUCAAGUCAAAGGCAGACAUGUUCAGGGAGCACCUGCUAUGAGCUGCUGCCCAAAGAGGUGGAUGGGGUUGUCUCAAAAGGUGAAAAGACACAGGGAGGCCCUGCCCACAGGGCCAUCUCCUGUGGGCAGCAGAGGCUUGCUCACAGCAGCUCAGGCAAAGAGCUGUAAGUCUGAAGAGCCAAGGGCGCUCUGUGCAGCAGGAGCUGGAGGGAAGCAGUGUCAUUAACAUCCCUGCCAUUUGUCAUCAUCAAAAGGUAUUUCUUAAGCACCUAAUUGAGCCUGAUACUGUGCUUGUGUUUUAUUUUCAGAGCUUGUAAGGACUAAACAAUGUGCAAACAAGCAAAUCAAAUAUCCAUAUAAGGCAGGUUACUUGUUUCAUUAAUUUUCCUUUUCUCUCUUCUCUUCUUUCUCUUCUCCCAGUUUCGAACUCUCCAGACCUGGCUAAUUACAAAUGACGUGUAUGCACAAAAGGUUAUCAUGGAGCUGCGGUUCACCUUCCAGUGAUGAUCAUCCCACAGCCCCAACCCACACCCUCCACCAACACACAAUUUUAUACACAUAGUGCACACAUACCCCACACCACAAAAUUACCCUCACACACAUGCACCACACAGAGCCCAGACCACACAUUCCUAUACACCACAUGCAUGCAACGCACAUACCAGACACACACAUACACCCGACACACUACACACACCACACACACCCCACACCCCACAACACACCACACACACGCAGUCUGCAGGCUGUCUGGAGGCUGCUGCUGCUAUCCAGAGAGACGUGGUGAAAAGACUAAGCUUUUAGGGACCAUGCAGGCUCAGAAACGGACAAGAGGAAAGAGCUGCGACAAGCAGGGUUUCAUUCUGUUGCCCAGGUUGGAAAGUAGUGGCGCAAUCACAUCUCACUGCAGCCUCAACCUCCCUGGCUCAGGUGAUCCUCCCAACUCAGCCUCCUCAGUAGCCCAGAAUACAGGCA
rnacentral:lncRNA from 10 species